rnacentral:rRNA from 1 species
UGGCGGACGGGGGAGUAAUGUCUGGGAAACUGCCCGAUGGAGGGGGGUAACUACUGGAAACGGUAGCUAAUACCGCAUAACGUCGCAAGACCAAAGAGGGGGACCUUCGGGCCCCUUGCCAUCGGAUGUGCCCAGAUGGGAUUAGCUAGUAGGUGGGGUAACGGCUCACCUAGGCGACGAUCCCUAGCUGGUCUGAGAGGAUGACCAGCCACACUGGAACUGAGACACGGUCCAG